GGCGGCCGCCGGGCGGUGCGGGCGCCCUCACCUGUGGGCGCGGCGGGGGAGGCGGGAGCGCGGAGAGGGGCCUCACGGGGAGGGGGGAUAACACAGGGCGUUCGGGGGAGAAUUCCCCGCGUCGAGCCUCUAAGGACAUCGGCAUUAUGCGUCUUACAAAGCGUGAGGUUUAACAAAACGCGCUACACGGCUCAGAGCAGCAGCCUUUAGAGGUCACUAGAACAUCGCUGCAGUAUUUACAAAUUCUCCAUGAAGGAUUAGAAGUUAGUCUAAAGCCCUAUAUACACUAGAUACAGUUCCAGUGGAUGCUGUAUACUAUUAUCUAAAUUUCUUCACAUAGACUAUCAUGUAUCUGCCCCAGCAAAGCUGAUUAGUGAAGCAGCUUGACUCUGACAUAUCCUUUAUGCCAGCCACAAGCUGCCUUGCACAGCCACCUUAUUCACUGUGGAGACAGGCCUGCAGCAAGAUUGUAACACAACAAAUGCAAAUGAGAUGAGCCUUACACCACUUAAACCGAGAUGGCUAUAAUAUGUAACAGCUUAAUGUGCCCACAGAAGUGAUUGAUGCCCCUUCCGUAUCCCUAAAGAGCCGCCGUUUUGAUGAACUCUUUUUUAACUAAUAUUUCUUUUUGCUCCUCUCCCUGGCAAUGCCUUUCUCUUUAUCCUCAGCGUCGGGAAAAGAGGCGCGGAGCGAAAUAUUGAACAACUCAUCAAACUCAAUUGUCUCCCUCAAGGUCUUGCUUUAAUGAAAACAAAAACAGGGAGGAUCUCUUAACAAGCUCCAGGCAGUUUAUUUUGAAUAUUCCAGCGGAAGUUUGGCCCACUGUAAAGCAGAUACCACUAAUAAUAAGCAACAUUGCUUCCUAUCGAAAAAGACCACUGUAUGUGAUCUGACAGUCUUGGGACAAUGCGGUUUUAUCAUAGAAUGCUUCAGGUUGGAAGGGACCUUAAAGAUCGUCGUUUAAGGUCUGAAGGAACCUUUGCUUUAAGCCGAACAGACUGCAGCCCCACUGCCACUCUGCCUGCGUAGCAGAUAGCCACAAAUCUGGGGAAAAUUGUAAGACAAACCUAGCAUCCUUUAGUGGCCUAACCAAAUGCUGCACUAGCCUAACUGGCUAUACAUUUCUAAUCAGUAUUCAUUCCCUGUCCUUAAAAUAAACAGAAAACAGAUUUCUCCGUUUCCCCUAAAAUCAAUCUUUCGGUGUAUCUGUCAGUUGCUUUCUCCCAAUUAGUAUUCUAAAUUCAUUUAUUUUUGUCAUAAAUUAAUUUUUUUUUUACGUACCUUGGCACAAGUUUUUCAUUCAAUACUUGUGAGUAAUGUGACAGACUUAACGUUGUGUUGCUUAGCAGUAAUUAAAAAAAAAAAAAGUAACUUUGUUAAUGAAUUGAGAUGAAUCAGAAAACCGCCUUAUUAAUUAUUGCUUGCCUAGUAGGCUAAGCUUUGGCUCUUCACCUCACUGGCCCAGAGAACAUUUCUUGCCUUUGGCCAUGUCGGAGGGGCUCAUUAAAACAUCUCUUGGGAGCAGACAGAAAUUGUUAGUGAAAAGCAAUGGUCAGUGCCUCAGCUAGAACUCAGCAGGGAGGGGAAUCCCUCAUCACUGAGAGCUAACAAGGCUGUAUGUAUUACACCUGUAAUCAAACUGCUCCGAAAAUGCCAGGAGACCACUGGGCUCUCUUUGUGAUUGGUGAAGUUAUCUGAAAAUGCUGAAUCCAAUCCAUAAUUGAUGUGCACACAUACAAUUACAAGCCUCCAGAUAUCAGUUAAAAUGUUGCAGUUGCAGGCCUUAAGGAUUGGCAAACCUUAACAUGCAUGGCAUAAAAUAAGGUGUUUGACAUAAUAAAAGUGAACUUGCUUUGCUUCCGUGCACUGCCAGUUAAAUUUUAAUUGAAUUUGCUACAUUUGUUAACAGAUGUAAUUGUAGAAAACCUCACUGAAAAACAAUGGUGUAUGGAUGGGCUUGGGCAUCUUUUAGACAUUCUGUGAAUUAAUUUGUACAGUUAAAUUAUGAUCUACAUCACUGUUUUGCCUAAGGUAAGUAAAAUUUACUGUGAUAAGUAAAGUGACCUUGGGAUAUUGAAAUCUGAGAAUUUUACAUACCCUAAGCUCUGGGUUAUUAUAAGGUGGAAAAACUAGUACUUCUGUAAGUCUUGCGUGUGGGUUCUGGCUUCCCUGUGGUCUCCUAGGAAACUCGAAACUUUGAACAGUUUUCAAUAGUUGGCUUCCAAAUAAUUCAGCUUGUAGUAGAUGAGAAGUUUAAAUGCGAGCUAAAUGUGCUGACCAGACCAACUUAGAAUUUAGUGACAUAACAUCCUGCAAACCAACAUCUACAUUUACUGUAACUCAUCCAAGUCAGCCUCAGUACACGAGAAAGAAACCCUCUUCUGGUGCUAUAUAUGUUGUUACAGGUGAUGCUGAAGAUUACUCCCUUCUUGCUUGGAGGAAAGGACAGUGGGACAAUGUGUAGUGAUAGAACAAGAGGAGAAAGAGAAGGAAGUGGGGGUACAGAAACAGCAGACUGCACACCACAAAUACUUCUGGGUUACAUUCACAAAUUUAAGAUGGAAUAAUCAUUACUGCUGUUCAAGAAGGCUUCCCUGCUUUGUGUAGUUCUAUGAGUUUUUGCAAAUAGUAUGUAGACCUGUGGGCAAAUGCGAACCUCGUGUCUGUAACACUGAAAAAUGAUUCAUGAAACUACAUGAAGAACAUACUUUCCUCCGCUUUAUCUGGUGAUAGUUUAUGUCAUAUAUGACUACAGGGUAUUCUUCUAAACAUUUACAAGAGAAAGCUAAAAUUUUUAUCAGCCAUUAAUAAAUAGGAAUAGAUAGAAAACACAUAAUGCCUCUUUAUGGUGCCUCUGUCAGUAUUAUGACUGCUGUCCCUUACAUUUGCUAGGAGAAGCACUCCUCUUCCCAGCCUUAACUGCUUCAAAAUAUGUUGCCCAAACUGAGUUGUUCAGGCUCCCUCUGUAGAGAAAGAGCCAUGCCCAAAGGGAGAGUUAUCCCACCUCUCUUAGAGAGGAAGGAAGACUUCAGAUUUCAGAGGGAGCCCAGAUGAGCCCAGAGAAGGCCAAGGCUUAGAUAAGAUAAAUCUUGCCUGAAGUAGAAGGCCCUUUGUCUUUUAUUAUUAUUAUUAUUAUUAUUAAAAUUUAUUUUAUUAUUAUCUGUCCAAAACCUUCACAAAUAAAAUGCCCCCUUUUUUUUUUUUUUUUUUUUCUUUUCUGUCUGGAUUUUUGUUUUAGUUAGGUUUGGUUUCCUAUCAUCUUUUAAUUGUACCCAACUAAGAAAUAAAAGAAAUGGCGAGUGGGGAAGGAGAAAAGGUGCUGAUCAAACACAGUCUUGAGGGGCUGGGUUGAGAGGUGUAAAAGACUUCAAAUGCUUAUUGACAUAUAUUUGAAGGCACAUCUUGUUUUCUGUUUAAUUUUUUUACGUGAAAUUGAAAAGGGGAAAAUAUACGAAACCACAGACUCUGGCAGUUCCUGAGCUAGAAAAAAAAGUCAUUUUUUUCUUAUUAUUCCUAAACUGUAAGUCAGUUAUCUGAGAUGUGAUUUUCAAACUGUUGUCGCUCUGAAAUUUCUUCCUGUUAUUGUGUCACUCAAAUUAGAAGUAUAAAGAUCUGUUUGUUGUUAGCACUACAUGUUUGACUGGAAGCAUUAUUUACAGUGGUAGAAGUCCUUUUCUACAGGUUCUCUAGACACACAGAACAAAAAAGGCGGUUGCCACCCCCUAAGAGCAAAUGGCUUAAGUGCAUCAUCAAGUUUGUGACAAGACAUCUGUGGUUUAAUUUGUAGCACACUCCUGGUACUAAGAGGAUACAGAUACAGAGCCAAAUUCAUCCCAGAAUCACUGGCUACAUUCACAUCACAUGAGAUGUGAAUUUGACCCAUUGACUUCAGUGGUGUAAAUGACAGAUGCUGAGGAAGUGGACAAAAGUGGCUUUCCCCCACCUUUGCCCUCUCUGAGUUCCAGGGCUAACAGAGGCUUGUCUGUAUAAUUUAGAACACCUCAAGGCUGCUCCAAGCUCCACUGGCUUGUAACAGCCUCCAAGGUGCUUUUGUGCCACUGAGGGAUUCCCAGCACAUAUGCUCUGGCCAUGGGCCUUGCAGUGGGGCGUGGAGCAGAACGACAUCGCUGGCUCCACAGCCCUCAGAGGUUGCCCUGGCUCCCAGGCAAUCCUCUGCCUCUGUUAGGGCAGUUUUCCAGGAUGUUUGCACUGCUGGAGUCAGAGCCGUGCUCUGCUUGUGAAGUUGCAUCCUUGCCAUUCAGUGUUGAAAAGAUGAGGGCAUGCUAAUUUAUCACUCAUGUAAUAUUGCCAGCUCAUGCAAAGGUUUCUGCCACUUGUGAUUAUGGCCUAGGCAUUUGUAAGGGACUUGUGUCUUCUUUCUGUAGGUCUUUCUAUAAAUUUGCCCUGAAGAUGGUCCUACUUUUUGAGUUGUUGCCUAAUAUAUGUGUGUAUAUAUAUAUAUUGCAUACAUGUAAGUAUACCAUCUAUAUAUAUAUAUAAAUGUAUAUGAAUUUGUAUUCGUUUAGAAAACCCUGCUUCUAAUAAGCCUUGUAAUCAAAUAUGGGAUCAGUAAUAUCAGUUAUAAGUGACUACUAGUAUGCCAGGGCACAUGUAAUUAGCAAAGUAUCAAUAAUUGAUAUUUAGUAGGAAGAAAACUGACUGUUCAAUUACUAUAUCAAACUCAGUGAUUGUGUAUACUUGCGUGUGCAAUGCGCAUGCAUAUGCAUAUGCCUGGGUAUGUGUAACUUUCAUAAGUUCUGGUGCAUCAACCCUAAUGUGUGUACUCAUGCACUUGGUACAGUUUCAGAUCAAAACAAAUAGAGCCCCAAACGUAUCAUUUAAACUGUAGACAACUGAUGCUUCCAUCCUGUGGUCCCUGCCCUGAAUACAAGCAGGUGAGGAAUGGUGCUAAAUGCUUUUGAUGUUACCAGCUCCCAUUUGCCACCCAACUUCUUUCUUCUCCAAAACCUCUUAACAAACUUCAAAGGCCUCCUUGCUUCUUGCCUUAAUCCAGUGCACUGAGACCUCUAGUUCAAAGAACUUUCCUUAAACCCUCUUCUUAAACUGCAACCAAAACUUUUUCUUUCCUUUCCACAAAGUAGCAAUUACAGCUCUGUUGCGUGGCAAUUGGGCUUGGGCCGAUCAGCUCCUGCUAUUAAUUAAUCUCACAAAGGGGGCUCAUUUCCUGGCAUUCAAAUUGACAAGAGAGCAGAGAACAGAAAGCCCUUUCAAAGCAGUUCCAGUUAACUGAGGGAAGAGGUAUCAGAAAAAAAGAGCCCCACAGUAUUUGAGGUAGAGGGCACAUUUGAUACUGCCCAUGCUUGCUACUGAUUGAAUGAUUUUGUUGAGGAGAGCUCUUUACUAAUCUUUUACCUGCAAAAAGCUCAAGAGCAAGUAAAUGCAGCAGAAAUAUUGCUAAAUUGUGGCAAAGAGGCUUCACAGGCUAGGCUUUCGAUUUCACUCUCCCAGUGCAUCUUCUGGAGCAUUAUACUUACUUUAAACAGAAAGUGUUCACUUUACUAACACAGAAAAGCUCUUGGAAGAAGGGGGGGAGAUGAAGAGGCAAGAAAGAAGAAUAGCAGACAAGAGAUUAAAGCUUUUUAUUCAGUAUCUCUUUCGUAUUCAAAUUGUGCUAAGGGCUCUGUGAAAGUUAGAAGCAAGCUUGUUCAGGAGGGCUUCUAAAGUGUGUACAUGGAUUUCAUGGGAAUAGAAAAGAAGCCAUGGACUGGUUAAAAUAGCCCUCCUGACAGAGGCUAAAUAGUAUAAGAAAUAAUCAACCGCCUUCACCUGGGAAAAAGUCUGAACCUAGCCAGUUCUCUGAUGGAGACUUGACAAGUAACAUCAAACAUGGCCCAAGAACAAAGCUAACCAACCACGGCCUGAAGCAUCCUUCAACCAAAAGUCACCUUUAGUCAAGCUUUGCCAUCUAAUUUGCAGUGUUUCUGUUUGUACUCUUCAGGCAGAAGAACUAAAACUCUUACAGUGUAAAGCUCUCUUGGUUUCUGCUCAGUAAGAUUACAUUGAGGAUGCUGCAACUAUUUAACACUUUUAGCAACCUUUGGCUGCAGCCAUCCUGGUGUUCUCACUUCAGAAAUGCAGAUCCAAGCCCACUACCUUUUUCCUACUGUUUAUUUGUGUGUGUGUGUGUUUUAAUGUGUCCUGAAUAACACUGCUGUAAGACUCCAAUUUUAAAGUGCAACUUAAUCCCCUUCUGUGCCAGUGUCCUGAAACAGAGCUAAAUUACCUUCAUAGAUUAUUGUUUUUUUAAUUUAGUUGGGUCAAAUAGAUGGCAAUGCUAUAUCUCACUGAGUGAAAGACUGCAAUGACUUGUUUGCUUGAAUCAAAGUAAACAAAGACAGUAGACAGGUCCUUCUCUCAAGAGGAAAAAUCCUUACAAAAAGGAAUGUCACCAGCAAAAAUCAUCAACUCAUGGAGACAAUAAGAAGAGGAAAAAAUGAACCUUAUAAUACAGAGUAAUUUUCCACUUUGAAGGAUGGCCAUACAAACUCAUUAAGCAUAGCAUUAACAUUCAAGGCUUUAACAAUCAGGAUUUUUUGGGGGGGGGACUCUCAAAGAUCUCAUGAUUUUCUAAAAACUUGAAUCAUUAACUUGAGACCUAGGUGAUCAUUAAAAUAUGCCAUCACUUGCUUUAUUCAGUAUUUAACUGUCCUUCUGGAUUCACAAGUACUCAGAUAAAGGUUAUACAAAUUGUGUUUUGCUCUGUACAGAUUUCAACUCCUAAUACCACAUGAACCAACAGCAUUUGGUAAGAAGUUCCACUCUGUGUAUGACCCUCAGUGUCUGCUCUGAGUAGGCUGAAGUUGUGCCAGAGAUCUACUGAUUGGAUCCUGAGUUUUCCCUCUGAAGACUGGCUGCUGAGGAGGACUGUGAUAAGAACUACCAUACAGGAUAAUCCAAUAAGCCAAUGUUAAAAGUAUGCUGACACUCAAAGGCAAGCACCAGUCAUUUUUUAAAAACAGCUUUUCCAGAAAGCAAAACAAAACAAAAACCAGAGCCUUUUCUAAUUUUACUUUAUUUUAUUGAGUUAUGCUUCCUUUAUUAAGACUCAUGAUUUUUGGACUGCCUACUCUUCUCAAUUCUCAAAGGAAGAUUUGUCAGGAGGAAGACAGGGAAGAAAUUAAAGGGAAGGACAGUUUCUCUGUUGUAAAUGAAUUUUCUUUGUUCUUUACUUUUUAUGAUGGUCUUUAUAUUUAUAUUUUAUGUUGAUAAAAUACAGCUGUAAUUAGGAUUAUUCCUCUUCCUGCACUUCCUUCAUUUAUUUGUCCCCAUCUCCGAUUCAUUUUGUUUCUUCCUUCCUUUUAUGUAUCACUAUUUUUGCCUCUGCACUUCAAUCUCCAGUAAUUUAUGUCCCAGUGGAAUUAUAUCAGCUCAUCCUCAGUAGAAGAGUUCUAUGUACCCUUCAACAGUUACAUUAAAGACAAUAAAAUUCUUGGAUUUCAUAUACAUAUAUGCCAAUCUCUUUCUUGUGUGUUUGGCGUUCUGCCACAGAUAUUCCCUUUUUCAACAAAACACCUUCUCCAGAGUGAUUCCAACCAUGCCACAAAUAAGAUAGCUACAAAAAACUUAGGCUAAGACUUCAGACAGGGUUGCAUGUUGUAUGUUUCGAAUAUCUUAGCAAUAUCUGUCAGUACUUCUACCACCUUCACUGAAACAGAUAUAGAUAAUCUUUGAUUACAUUUACAAAAUAAUUGACUGUUCCCCUUGCUUCUAUUGUCUUUCCACUGUUCUCUAUUCUUCACAUCCUACUCCUCUCUAUUCUAUUCUUUUGCCUGACUAAUUUAGAUUGCAUGCUUUUUGAAGCAUCAUUCUUAUCAUUUUAUGGGCUCUGCUUAGCGCACAUGAACAAACUCCCAUCAGUUUGGAUGUGUAUCAGUUUGGAUGUAUAUAUAUGUGUGUAUAUGUAUGUAUAUAUAUAUAUAUAUAUGGGUGUCAUGUAAUGCCAGAAUUUACCUGUCUGCCUCCAAACAAUGUGAUUGUGCUGGUCUUCUGAAAUAAAAGUCCUUAGGAGACCCUCACAGAGAUAUAGCUUUAUCUGAGUUUCUUUAAAAGUUAAAAGCAAGUAUUUCAUUGUCUUUAACAGAAUAUAGAUUGGCUCUCAAACAUAAGAGAAAAUAAACAUUUUUAAAAUAAAACACAGCGGCAAAUGUGAAAGAAA